GGAAGGUCAAGGGGAGAAAGUGCAAGUGAAGUGCAAGAGAAGGAGAAAAAGCGAAAGAGACCCCGAAAGAGAAGGUAAAAGGAAUCAAGUGAGCUCGACAAUUUUCCCUUCAAACCCACUUGACAAGUGAAAGAAUAUUCCCUGAUGUUCUCUUUGCAUCUGCUUUCGGCUGACAAUGACUGCUCCUUGAGGGAACCUUGAGGGUCUGUGAUGCUGGAAGGGGACCAAGAGCCACAAGACAAGGAGGCGUCAACUUCCUCAUUUGGAAAAUCCGAAUAAGCCUAGCGCUCCCCCCUCCUGGGUUUGUUGUGAGAACGAAAUAAGAUGACGACAUCACAUCACACCGCCAGAGAUAAAGGAGGAUAAGAGGAGAUCCUCAGAUGAGGAGCCCAGGACGCGGCAGGAUUCUGGGAGGGACGAGAGACUGCGAACAUUUCUGCUGACUCGGUGCCCUCGCCCUGGAAUCGGCAAGUGGCUUUUCUCCCAGGCGCCCUUGUGUGUG